rnacentral:rRNA from 1 species
GACGCCGCGUGCGGGAUGACGGCCUUCGGGUUGUAAACCGCUUUUGAUCGGGAGCAAGCCUUCGGGUGAGUGUACCUUUCGAAUAAGCACCGGCUAACUACGUGCCAGCAGCCGCGGUAAUACGUAGGGUGCAAGCGUUAUCCGGAAUUAUUGGGCGUAAAGGGCUCGUAGGCGGUUCGUCGCGUCCGGUGUGAAAGUCCAUCGCUUAACGGUGGAUCUGCGCCGGGUACGGGCGGGCUGGAGUGCGGUAGGGGAGACUGGAAUUCCCGGUGUAACGGUGGAAUGUGUAGAUAUCGGGAAGAACACCAAUGGCGAAGGCAGGUCUCUGGGCCGUUACUGACGCUGAGGAGCGAAAGCGUGGGGAGCGAACAGGAUUAGAUACCCUGGUAGUCCACGCCGUAAACGGUGGAUGCUGGAUGUGGGGCCCGUUCCACGGGUUCCGUGUCGGAGCUAACGCGUUAAGCAUCCCGCCUGGGGAGUACGGCCGCAAGGCUAAAACUCAAAGAAAUUGACGGGGGCCCGCACAAGCGGCGGAGCAUGCGGAUUAAUUCGAUGCAACGCGAAGAACCUUACCUGGGCUUGACAUGUUCCCGACAGCCGUAGAGAUAUGGCCUCCCUUCGGGGCGGGUUCACAGGUGGUGCAUGGUCGUCGUCAGCUCGUGUCGUGAGAUG